rnacentral:rRNA from 1 species
GAUGAACGCUGGCGGCGUGCCUAAUACAUGCAAGUCGAGCGAACAGACGAGGAGCUUGCUCCUCUGACGUUAGCGGCGGACGGGUGAGUAACACGUGGAUAACCUACCUAUAAGACUGGGAUAACUUCGGGAAACCGGAGCUAAUACCGGAUCAUAUAUUGAACCGCAUGGUUCAAUAGUGAAAGACGGUUUUGCUGUCACUUAUAGCUGGAUCCGCGCCGCAUUAGCUAGUUGGUAAGGUAACGGCUUACCAAGGCAACGAUGCGUAGCCGACCUGAGAGGGUGAUCAGCCACACUGGAACUGAGACACGGUCCAGACUCCUACGGGAGGCAGCAGUAGGGAAUCUUCCGCAAUGGGCGAAAGCUUGACGGAGCAACGCCGCGUGAGUGAUGAAGGUCUUCGGAUCGUAAAACUCUUUUAUUAGGGAAGAACAAAUGUGUAAGAAACUAUGCACGUCUUGACGGUACCUAAUCAGAAAGCCACGGCUAACUACGUG